rnacentral:rRNA from 1 species
AGUACGAGAGGACCGGGACGGACGAACCUCUGGUGUGCCAGUUGUCCUGCCAAGGGCAUGGCUGGUUGGCUACGUUCGGAAAGGAUAACCGCUGAAAGCAUCUAAGCGGGAAGCCUGCUUCGAGAUGAGUAUUCCCACCACCUUGAGUGGUUAAGGCUCCCAGUAGACGACUGGGUUGAUAGGCCAGAUGUGGAAGCCCGGUAACGGGUGGAGCUGACUGGUACUAAUAGGCCGAGGGCUUGUCCUCAGUUG